CCUACGGGAGGCAGCAGUGAGGAAUAUUGGUCAAUGGGCGAGAGCCUGAACCAGCCAAGUCGCGUGAAGGAUGACGGCCCUACGGGUUGUAAACUUCUUUUGUCAGGGAGCAAUUGGGUCCACGCGUGGGCUUAGCGAGAGUACCUGAAGAAAAAGCAUCGGCUAACGCCGUGCCAGCAGCCGCGGUAAUACGGAGGAUGCGAGCGUUAUCCGGAUUUAUUGGGUUUAAAGGGUGCGGAGGCGGAAUAUCAAGUCAGCGGUAAAAUUUCGGGGCUCAACCCCGUCGUGCCGUUGAAACUGAUGGUCUUGAGUGGGCGAGAAGUAUGCGGAAUGCGUGGUGUAGCGGUGAAAUGCAUAGAUAUCGCGCAGAACUCCGAUUGCGAAGGCAGCAUACCGGCGCCCAACUGACGCUGAAGCACGAAAGCGUGGGUAUCGAACAGGAUUAGAUACCCGGGUAGUC
rnacentral:rRNA from 1 species